AAAGGGAGACCUAAUUCCGGUAGGAGACGAAAAAAAAGUAGUCCCUACCAAGAAUCAAUCCCAAAAGGUCGGAGCGAGGCGAAAUUGGCUUUCAAACUAGGUUCUGGGUUCACACAAGACCUGAAUCAGGAACAAGGGCUAUUAGCUCAGGUGGUUAGAGCGCACCCCUGAUAAGGGUGAGGUCCCUGGUUCGAGUCCAGGAUGGCCCACCUGCACAGGUGGCAAAAACAAGAGAAGCGAGGAAUCAGCACCUUAUCUUACUUAUAUAGUAAGAGAGAAUGCUGGCUCUGAGUAAAGAGUCCAGGGGAACCUUGAAAACUGCAUAGAGCUAGGUGAAAGAGCCAAAAAAGAAGACCGCAAG
rnacentral:tRNA from 1 species